rnacentral:rRNA from 1 species
AGAUGGCGACCGGCGCACGGGUGAGUAACACGUAUCCAACCUGCCGAUAACUCGGGGAUAGCCUUUCGAAAGAAAGAUUAAUACCCGAUGGUAUAAUAAAGCCGCAUGGUUUAAUUAUUAAAGAAUUUCGGUUAUCGAUGGGGAUGCGUUCCAUUAGGCAGUUGGUGAGGUAGCGGCUCACCAAACCUUCGAUGGAUAGGGGUUCUGAGAGGAAGGUCCCCCACAUUGGAACUGAGACACGGUCCAA